rnacentral:lncRNA from 1 species
AGCUGCUUCACGCCAGCCUCUAGGACAGUACCAACUACCACAUACCUUGUUCACCCAACUCUCUGUCCAGCUAAUGGUGGGUGAUCAUUGUGAUGGGAGUCAUCAUCCCUGGAGGUGUUCCAGAACCUGGAGAUCAGGCACCUGAGGACAGAGCCAACAAUCACCAUCCAAGCCUGGAGACACGUUCAGAACUUGACAUCAACCGUACUGCACUCCAGACAACAUCGCAAGCAGCUCCCACACAAAGUGUCUAUACAGAAACAGUCUUUAAAAAUACAAUUCCCUGAUCCCCUCUUCCUCGUGGUGCCAUCCCUGUUGCUUCCUAUGGGCGCUACGUCAGUUUCUUUAUUCUGCGGUUCUGCUUGUCGAUAUUCAGCGUCGCACGGUCGACGGAGGUAGUGAUGGAAUCAAGAGCUUCGUCCUGUCUCUCCAGUUCUGCUUCUGUCUCCAAGGCAAGGCUCUUCAACUU